AACGCGAAGAACCUUACCUGGCCUUGACAUCCCAAGAACUUUCCAGAGAUGGAUUGGUGCUAGCUUGCUAGAACUUGGUGACAGGUGCUGCACGGCUGUCGUCAGCUCGUGUCGUGAGAUGUUGGGUUAAGUCCCGCAACGAGCGCAACCCUCGUCUUUAGUUGCUAACAGUUAGGCUGAGCACUCUAAAGAGACUGCCUCCGUAAGGAGGAGGAAGGUGAGGACGACGUCAAGUCAUCAUGGCCCUUACGGCCAGGGCUACACACGUGCUACAAUGGGGCGUACAGAGAGCUGCAAUACCGCGAGGUGGAGCCAAUCUCUUAAAGCGUCUCUCAGUUCGGAUUGUUCUCUGCAACUCGAGAAUAUGAAGCUGGAAUCACUAGUAAUCGCAGAUCAGCUAUGCUGCGGUGAAUACGUUCCCGGGUC
rnacentral:rRNA from 1 species